UAAAAACAAAACCUUCCAUCUUGAUGCCGAGUCCGACUGAGAUGAAGUGAGAAAUUAUGUUAGAAACCACCUUUUAAACCUUUGUACAGAUUUUAGGUGUCGAAGUUGGCCGAGAAAACAAUUUACGUGGUUUUGUAGGAGUGUGUUAUUCUUAAAGCCUAAAACCAAAAGUGUAUUAAUUUAGCCAAUUUUCCAAAAAUUCUGUCCAAUCUUCAGGAACCUCCACCGUAGCAAGACCCACGACUGGCCACGUGUCUCUCCAUCGUCUGGAACUUCGACGUUGCAAGACCCACGCCCGGUCAUGCCUCUCUCCAUUGUCUGGAACCUCGCCUUGUAUCCGAUUUCCCCCUCUUUUCUUCUAUUCUCCAAGACCCGUAGCAUAACCAUUUGGAUUUAGUAGUAAGCGAAGGUUUGUUCUUUUCCCGAUUUCUUCUUCACACUUCCUUUUUCAUUCACUUAUUUCAAUUCAUCCUUUCAUUUUUUAUGAUUUAGCUUUUCCAAUUUCUUGCAUUUAUCCUUGUAGCCCCAAGUAGCUUUACAUAUUUAAUUAGAUUAACUUUUUUAAAAUAUCAAAGAUUUGUUGGUGAUGGGUUUAUGCUUCAACGGGGUUUUCUCUCAUUAAAUUUGUUCAUAUAAUUCUUUAAAGUCUCCUAUUUUCUUGUUCCUUUUGUCAUUUAUGCAAUAUUGAGUAAUGAGAUCGUUUUUAUUUGCUUGAAUAUUGGUGUUUAUCAGAGUUUGGGUAAGAUGGAAAAGUCGUCUCUACAUGCAUUUCUCUUCCCUUUUUAUGUAUUUGUUUUUGAGUGAGAAUAUGUAGAACUUCGAACCACACUUCAAAAAUCAAACUGGUUGUGAGACUGAAUCAGAAAGAGGGUUUGUUUUUUCUUUGUGAUUCUAUAAUUUUUUUCAUGGAUUGAUUAUAAGUUGCUUUUGGUGGCUGCUUUACUUUGGCUUUGGAGCUCCACAAGGUAUAUCUUUUCUUCUUUUCGAUUUGCAUCCCUUUCUCCUUUAAUCGGUUGUUUUCGUCAAAUAUAGUGUAAGAGAUAGACCUAUUACCAUUUUGUUUGAGAAUUGGAGGACUUUACCACGGGAACUAGGUGGAAUGCGGUCAUGAGGAACUCCAAAAGAUUCGUCAGGAAUUUGACGCUGCUAAACUUAGCUUACUCAAGAUUUCUGAGGUGCUCAGGGCAGUUCUGAAGUUGAACCUGAAGAAUGAUUUGUGCUUUAUAGACUUUAACAUUUCAAAAAAUGGAGACAAUGGAUCUUGCUACAUCUGCUGCACCAUUGAAAUUAAGCCAAUGUGAGUUCUUAAGUUGUUGAAGACUCACUUAGAGGAAAAGUUUUGAUGUUCCGUUUUGCAAUUUAUUAGGGAGUAACUAAUUAUUGAAAACCACACAUCUUAAGUUGUUAGGUUUGUUGACAUCUCAUACUACAUUUUUGUCAGUAAUGUUGGAAUUUUUUACAAUAAUGUUAGAGUUUGUACUAAUUAUUUAAGCUUCAUGUAUAGUUUUUCUCUUUGCUUUAAGUUUUGGGCUCUAAACUUUUGUUAAUGGUGAUUGUCAUUUUCGUUCAUUGCAAUUUUUGUGUCCACUUGUGUUGCGAUCUAUUAGUUUAUCAAUCUUCUUGCGUUCUUUGACAUCUUCACCCCUCCUGUCUUUUUCAUCUUUGACACUUUGUUGAUUUCUAUUUAGAGAUGGGGGAGAGAGUUUUUCUUGUUUCCUUGGACUCAUCUUUUAAUUGUUCUUUGGAACAUAAGCAAAAGAAGGGGAUGCAACAAUUUAUUUUGUUUAGUAGUGAAAUUUUAGAAAACGAGGAUUUUGGUUACACUUUUUUGUCUUUCACCGGUAUUGAUUUUCAUUAGACAAGAUUAUCUAUUCUCUCGUUUUUGCCAAGUAUUUGAGUGAUUAUGUAGUUUCAGGGGAAAUGGUUUUGAUAUAUCGUUUGCAGAAGCAAGGUUUGGGUUAUUAGAGCUCUAGCUUCUAUGGUGGUAUUGUUGGAGGAGUUUAAGCUGGGAAAACGUUCUUGGUCGAUAAAAGAAUGACUUUCCAACCAAGAAAUUUCAUCGCCACGACGUAACAAAGCUUGAGUUAUUUAAGAUCUUCAAAACAAAUUUUGUAACCAAUGGAUGAUAAGUUGGAUCAACCUUAUGUUUAAGUUGAUGAUACUAUAUCUCUUUUUAUGGGGGCAAUAUGAAUCUUUUGUAAAUACUUAUUCACAUGAAUGUACAUUUUGUUUCGAAUA